rnacentral:rRNA from 1 species
AGAGUUUGAUCCUGGCUCAGGACGAACGCUGGCGGUGUGCUUCACACAUGCAAGUCGAACGGAGUAGCAAUACUCUGUGGCGGACGGGUGAGUAACACGUGGGAAUCUACCAUUAGGUGGGGAAUAACAGGCCGAAAGGACUGCUAAUGCCGCAUAUGUAGGCAUCUCGACAGAGAUGUUUAUGAAAGGAGUAAUCCGCCUUUUGAUGAGCCCGCGUCCGAUUAGCUAGUUGGUAGGGUAAAAGCCUACCAAGGCGACGAUCGGUAGGUGGUCUGAGAGGAUGAUCACCCACAAUGGGACUGAGACACGGCCCAUACUCCUACGGGAGGCAGCAGUGGGGAAUUUUACGCAAUGGGGGAAACCCUGACGUAGCGACACCGCGUGAGCGAAGAAGCCCUUUGGGGUGUAAAGCUCUGUCAACAGGAACGAAACAAAUGACGGUACCUGUGGAGGAAGCAUCGGCUAACUACGUGCCAGCAGCCGCGGUAAGACGUAGGAUGCAAGCGUUGUCCGGAUUUAUUGGGCGUAAAGAGUUCGUAGGCGGUUUGUUAAGUCUGAUGUUAAAGACCGGGGCUCAACCUCGGAAAUGCAUUGGAUACUGGCAGACUGGAGUGCAGUAGAGGCUAGUGGAAUUCCCAGUGUAGCGGUGAAAUGCGUAGA